rnacentral:tRNA from 1 species
GGAAAGGUGGCUGAGUGGCCGAAAGCAUUGGUUUGCUAAAUCAACGUAUACUCUCUUGUGUACCAUGGGUUCGAAUCCCAUUCUUUCCA